rnacentral:rRNA from 1 species
AUGAACGCUAGCUACAGGCUUAACACAUGCAAGUCGAGGGGCAGCAUGGUCUUAGCUUGCUAAGGCCGAUGGCGACCGGCGCACGGGUGAGUAACACGUAUCCAACCUGCCGUCUACUCUUGGACAGCCUUCUGAAAGGAAGAUUAAUACAAGAUGGCAUCAUGAGUCCGCAUGUUCACAUGAUUAAAGGUAUUCCGGUAGACGAUGGGGAUGCGUUCCAUUAGAUAGUAGGCGGGGUAACGGCCCACCUAGUCUUCGAUGGAUAGGGGUUCUGAGAGGAAGGUCCCCCACAUUGGAACUGAGACACGGUCCAAACUCCUACGGGAGGCAGCAGUGAGGAAUAUUGGUCAAUGGGCGAGAGCCUGAACCAGCCAAGUAGCGUGAAGGAUGACUGCCCUAUGGGUUGUAAACUUCUUUUAUAAAGGAAUAAAGUCGGGUAUGCAUACCCGUUUGCAUGUACUUUAUGAAUAAGGAUCGGCUAACUCCGUGCCAGCAGCCGCGGUAAUACGGAGGAUCCGAGCGUUAUCCGGAUUUAUUGGGUUUAAAGGGAGCGUAGAUGGAUGUUUAAGUCAGUUGUGAAAGUUUGCGGCUCAACCGUAAAAUUGCAGUUGAUACUGGAUAUCUUGAGUGCAGUUGAGGCAGGCGGAAUUCGUGGUGUAGCGGUGAAAUGCUUAGAUAUCACGAAGAACUCCGAUUGCGAAGGCAGCCUGCUAAGCUGCAACUGACAUUGAGGCUCGAAAGUGUGGGUAUCAAACAGGAUUAGAUACCCUGGUAGUCCACACGGUAAACGAUGAAUACUCGCUGUUUGCGAUAUACAGCAAGCGGCCAAGCGAAAGCGUUAAGUAUUCCACCUGGGGAGUACGCCGGCAACGGUGAAACUCAAAGGAAUUGACGGGGGCCCGCACAAGCGGAGGAACAUGUGGUUUAAUUCGAUGAUACGCGAGGAACCUUACCCGGGCUUAAAUUGCAAAUGAAUUAUGGGGAAACCCAUACGCCGCAAGGCAUUUGUGAAGGUGCUGCAUGGUUGUCGUCAGCUCGUGCCGUGAGGUGUCGGCUUAAGUGCCAUAACGAGCGCAACCCUUGUUGUCAGUUACUAACAGGUUCCGCUGAGGACUCUGACAAGACUGCCAUCGUAAGAUGUGAGGAAGGUGGGGAUGACGUCAAAUCAGCACGGCCCUUACGUCCGGGGCUACACACGUGUUACAAUGGGGGGUACAGAGGGCCGCUACCACGCGAGUGGAUGCCAAUCCCAAAAACCUCUCUCAGUUCGGACUGGAGUCUGCAACCCGACUCCACGAAGCUGGAUUCGCUAGUAAUCGCGCAUCAGCCACGGCGCGGUGAAUACGUUCCCGGGCCUUGUACACACCGCCCGUCAAGCCAUGGGAGCCGGGGGUACCUGAAGUGCGUAACCGCGAGGAGCGCCCUAGGGUAAAACUGGUGACUGGGGCU